AUUGAACGCUGGCGGCAUGCCUUACAUAUGCAAGUCGAACGGUAAAGAGGGGCAACCUGGCGACGAGUGGCGAACGGGUGAGUAAUGUAUAGGAACGUGCCCAGUAGUGGGGGAUAGCCUGGCGAAAGCAGGAUUAAUACCGAAUUCGACCUGAGGGUGAAAGCGGGGGAGGGAAAGAACUUGCGCUAUUGUAGCGGCCGAUAUCAGAUUAGCUACUUGGUGGGGUAAAGGCCUACCAAGGCGACGAUCGUUAGCUGGUCUGGGAGGACGACCAGCCACACUGGGACUGAGACACUGCCCAGACUCCUACGGGAGGCAGCAUUGGAGAAUUUUGGACAAUGGGCGAAAGCCUGAUCCAGCCAUGCCGCGUGCGGGAAGAAGGCCUUCGGGUUGUAAACCGCUUUUGUCAGGGAAGAAAAGGCUCGAACUAAUACUUUGUGCUCAUGACGGUACCUGAAUAAUAAGCACCGGCUAACUACGUGCCAGCCGCCGCGGUAACAC
rnacentral:rRNA from 1 species